rnacentral:tRNA from 1 species
GGGGAUUUAGCUCAGUUGUAGAGCGCUUGCCUAGCAAGCGCAAGGCCCUGGGUUCGAUCCCCAGCUCCG